rnacentral:tRNA from 1 species
AAAUAUAUAGUAUAAAUUAUUACAUUUAAUUUCCAAUUAAAAAAUUUAAAAAUAUUAAUAUAUUUA